UUUUGAGACAGGGUCUCACUGCGUAGUUGAAACUGACCUGGAAUUCACUAUGUAGCCCAGGCUGGUCUCAAACUCACAGCGAUCCUCCUGCCGCAGCCUCCUGAGUGCUGGGAUUACAGGCGUGUGCCACCAGGCCCAGCUGUUUUUGUUUUCUCCAAUUGGCAAGCUGCCUGCCUGCCUGAGAUCACCCGGUGGGUGUGUGACCUCCUGGACUGUGCGACACAGACCCAGCAAGGACCCAAAGACCCCGGAGGGGGUCUCUUCAGCUGCCUGCCUGCCAGAGAUCACCCGGUGGUUGCGCGACCUCCCGGACUACACGACAACAGACCCAGUAAGGAAGGUAGCCCCCCCACCCCGUUCUCAAACCUC
rnacentral:lncRNA from 1 species